AAAUAUCGCAAGUACCACCCUAGGGCCUAGACUUCCACCAACGACACCACACUUGCGUCUUUCCAAACAACACAUUGGACGAUGCCAAACAACACAUUGGACGAUACAUUAUAUCAAAAUAGACUGGAUGGCUACGAGUGGAUUUCCAUUACCCAUGUAAGUGAUCACAGGUUAUAUAUGUACAUAUGUGUGCAAGAGAGAGAGAGGGAGAUGGAGAGAAAGAGAAAGCUUUUGUGUGUGUGUGAGUAUGUGUAUCUUUGUGUGUGUGCGUGUGUGUGUGUGUAUUUGCGUACAUAUGUGUCAUUUAAUGCCCGUCUAUGUUCAGGCUUUAUCUUACUUUAGAUAUUUUUGUAUUUUGUUUUUUCUUUACAGUUUGGAACCGUAAAGUAUCUAAAUCUAUAUUCGAUGUUUCCAGUAUUUCACAGUCUAAUUUCCAAGAUGUGGAUACAUAUAUCGUCUGUAUAUUAAUUGAAUCCAUGAAGAUUUUACAGCCAGAGAUUUGUAUGGUAUUGUGUUUUGCGAUUGCUCCUUGUUGUAAUCUCCUUUGAGAGAGUGUUCUACUAUGUUCAAUGUGACAGUUGGAGUCCUGAGGUUUACAACUUUCAGUUUUACAAUUAAAUUUGUAGUUUCUUCUCGGGUUCACAUGUAUAACAAAUUUGAUAGAGUUGCAGCCUUCAAAUCUAAUAUUCGUCUUUCGAAGCCUGCACUACGAUUUGUUUGUGGAACUUCCCAUCAAUAGACCAAACUAAGUUUCUCUCAUCCAACUUUUAGGGUUCUGUCUUGCUUCCAUCUUCUGAUUUUUGCCCGGGAUAAAAGAAAUAUCAAUCAUUGUCGGGCUCAGCUUCAUGAAAAACGUCAUUUAGAAUAACUGCUGACUUUUUAUAAAAAAAUAUUUGUCAAUUAAGAUGACAGCUCUUAUGAAACUAGUCGUCAUUUUCUUAAACAGUCGUCUCAGACGAAGAAAGGCAAACCAUAUUUGACAAAUAUUUUCUAUAAAACACUGCAACUGACUGCAUUAAAAGCUUUUCCUUAUAAGAUCAACAAUAAUUGAGUAGAAGACCUCACUGUACUCUAUACACUUCUCAUGGCCUAUCUUACAUCUAUAAAAAACAAGUUAGCUUUUUAAUGUCUUACCAACAUAUUUCAGCUGGAAUCGAAUCUACUUGGUACCUUAUUAAAGGACAGUGACCUUACAGUAUCAUAGGUUACAGUUGAUUUGGUACCUUCAUCCACAGCCAUGCUGAUAGGAAUCUACUCCAAAUUGUCAAUAAAUUCUUUGUUUAUGUUCGAUGGUUUGUUGAGAAGAUUGUCCAUUUUCUGGUUUAUGUCUGAGAUGAAAGAAAUAUCAAUCAUUGGCGAUUUCUGUUUCGUGGGAAAAUUCUUUAAAACAACUAACUAUUGACUUUUUUGUUCUCAUUUCUUAGAUGGAAAAGGAGGUGGAUUGGUUAUUCUACAUAUAUUAUGAAUGGUUUGAGUUUCGACGAUUUUCAAGAGAUCCGGCAUCUUUAUUCAAGCAGUUCUUCUGGAAUACUCUUGUCAAUAACAUCCUGAAACAAAUAAAAAAAUAAAAUUAUUCUAUCGG
rnacentral:lncRNA from 1 species